rnacentral:other from 1 species
UUACCCCUGCGUUGUACGUAAGGGAAGUUGUACUUUUGAAAGAACCGAUACCCUUACUCAGGGAAAUCAGGCCUUGACGGAUCGGAAAAGCCUACCAGAUAGGACUUUCGGACGCAAGCAACGAUUACCCACCUGGAUGUAAUGGGUUCUCUUCAAAAUCCUUUCCUUACGGCAUUUGUGGAGGAAAG